rnacentral:rRNA from 1 species
AGCGAACGCUGGCGGCAGGCCUAACACAUGCAAGUCGAGCGGCCAUAGCAAUACGGCAGCGGCAGACGGGAGAGUAACACGUGGGAACGCGCCCUUCGGUUCGGGAUAACUCAGGGACACUUGAGCUAAUACCGGAUACGCCCUUACGGGGAAAGAUUUAUUGCCGAAGGAACGGCCCGCGUCCGAUUAGCUUGUUGGUGAGGUAACGGCUCACCAGGGCGACGAUCGGUAGCUGGUCUGAGAGGAUGACCAGCCUCACUGGGACUGAGACACGGCCCAGACUCCUACGGGAGGCAGCAGUGGGGAAUAUUGGACAAUGGGCGCAAGCCUGAUCCAGCCAUGCCGCGUGGGUGAUGAAGGCCCUAGGGUUGUAAGGCCCUUUCAGCGGGGAAGAUAAUGACGGUACCUGCAGAAGAAGCCCCGGCUAACUUCGUGCCAGCAGCCGCGGUAAUAC